AGUUUGGACAUGCCUGCAAUUUAGCGUUCUUUUCUUUUUGUACUUCUAGCUCAGGAUAUUGAGCAUGACCAUGAUACUCAGGCGGAAGAUUGGCAUAUUGCACUGGAAGCACUUUGCGAGGUACUGUCAUCUCUACAACCAGCCAUUGUUUACUUUCCAGACAGUUCCCAGUGGCUGUCUAGGGCAGUUCCAAGAUUAAAUCGCAGAGAAUUUGUUGAAAAGGUAGAGGAAAUGUUUGAUCAACUUACUGGACCUCUAGUUUUGAUAUGUGGGCAGAACAUAACAGAGGCAUCAACAGCAGCACCUAAGGAUAAAGAACCUAGGACUCUGCUGUUCCGUAAUCUGGCUCGUCUGUCUCCGCUGUCAUCAUCCUUGAAGCGGCUGGUAGGGGAC